AUUGAACGCUGGCGGCAGGCCUAACACAUGCAAGUCGAGCGGAGCGGCGGACGGGUGAGUAAUACCUAGGAAUCUGCCUGGUAGUUGGGGAUAACGUUCGGAACCGGACGCUAAUACCGCAUACUCUCAGAUGAGCCUAGGUCGGAUUUGCUAGUUGGUGGGGUAAUGGCUCACCAAGGCUACGAUCCAUAACUGGUCUGAGAGGAUGAUCAGUCACACCGGAACUGAGACACGGUCCAGAAUCCUACGGGAGGCAGGAGUGGGGAAUAUUGGACAAUGGGCGGAAGCCUGAUCCAGCCAUGCCGCGUGUGUGAAGAAGGUCUUCGGAUUGUAAAGCACUUUAAGUUGGGAGGCGUUACCGACAGAAUAAGCACCGGCUAACCCUGUGCCAGCAGCCGCGGUAAUAC
rnacentral:rRNA from 1 species